ensembl:snRNA U6 U6 spliceosomal RNA
GCUUUCUACAGCAGCACAUACUAAAAUUGGAACGAUACAGAGAAGAUUAGCAUGGCCCCUGCGCAAGGAUGACACACAAAAUCAUAAAGCGCACCGCAGUACC